rnacentral:misc_RNA from 1 species
GGUUUAAUGAAAACACACCGUAUAGCAUAUGGCAAAAAAUUAAUAACAAUCACUAAAGUUUAUUGUGCAAAAUUGUUUUUCAUAAUUUUUGGUUAUGAAAUAAAUGUCAAGUAAAAGAUGGCAAGCCUAUAAAGGGAGGCUAAAUAAACUAGCUGUAGAAACAGAAAAGCAGUAGCCAUUUUAAGGGGAGAACAGGAGAAAAAUACAAAACACGAACUUGUUUUUCUUCUGCUUCUAAAUGCAAUUCAAGUACUACAAUCAAUCAUAUUUCUCAAUGAGAGUACCCAGGAAACCAAUUGCUAGAGGCUUUCCAUGGAAAUAGAAAUGUCUGCAUUGGGAACAACCUUCAAAUCAUUAAUCUUUUACCGACGUCCGUAAUAUCUUCACGUCAUGGAUAGGCCUGUAUUAAUAGAACAAAUAUAAUGCAGUGGUUUGAUUCAGCAUUGAAUAGAAUUUUAAAGAGAGUGAAGAAUCCACCGCCCUCAAUAAAUGAAUGAGGAUAACAACAUGCAAGUAGAAGUGGGAAGUGAGAAAAAAAAAUCUUCUAUUCAAACUUUAUAUAUCUUGAUACCAAAACCUAGAAAUUUAGUUACAUAAAUUGUUCUUCAAAGACUGCCUUUUAAGAAAGGUAUAUUUCAUUAUUAAUCUUCUACUUUUCUUCUCUUCCAGUUAUUGAUAUAGAACAUUUUGCAAUUUACUCAAGGCCCGUCAGUACUGUUUCAAAGUCCUCAACGAUUCAGAACAUACAAAAGAAAGACUUACCUAUCAUUAUUGUCAGUUUGAACGCUACCAAGUCUUUUGAUUACUUCCAUUCCCCUACAUACUCUACCAAAAAUGGUAUGUUUUCCAUCUAGAGAUGGAGUUGGUGCCAAAGUAAUAAAGAACUGGCUUCCAUUGGUAUUUGGACCUGCAUUUGCCAUGGAUAUGAUCCCAGCUCCAGUGUGCUUCAACUCGGGCCUUAUCUCAUCCUCAAACUUUGGACCAUAAAUGGAUUCUCCACCUCUUCCAGUUCCCGUCGGAUCCCCACCUUGCACUAUAAAAUCCUUAAUAAUUCUGUGAAAUUUCACGUUAUUGUAAUAACUUCUGCGAGAUAGUUCGAGGAAGUUUCUGCAAGUUUUUGGAGCAUGCUUGUAAUAAAGCUCGACAGUGAAAGAGCCCAUGGAAGUUUCUAGAGUGACCUCUGGAGCGCCUCCUUCUGAACUUGCCCACAUCUUUAACACCCACCAGCAAAACAAUCGCCACUUCCAGUCUUCCACAGUCACACUAUCUUCGGCGAUUUUAGGUUUAGCGCUAUAAAUGGGCAUGGCGAUUCGGGUCGGUUUCUUUCAUGAAUUGGGCUAUCGGGCUCCAUUAGCCCAAGCCAAUUAUGAACCGACCCGGCCCAUCAAUUUUCUCUCCUUUCUCAGCUGCCAUAGCCAUUUUCUGGAAACUCCGAAGUUUCUGAGGAAACAGAGAGAGAAAAAUGAGACCAGUCAAACUUCCCGGGCGGCCGAGCGGUUGGGUCUCUGGCGUGAUCAGACGGGCAGUGAUAAUCGGCAAUGGAUUCUCCGGGGCCGAGAGUCAGUGCCUUGGCUUGGUUCGCGCUCUCGGCCUCUCCUCCCGCUUUUCCCUAUACCGGGCUACUAGGCCAAGUGGAGGUAUCAACAAGUGGCUCCAUUGGCUCCCAGGUUCUAUCCACAGAAGAGUGGACUCUCUAAUAAGGAGUAUCCAUGACGAUUAUUGGAGAUAUGGAGGAAAUGCUAAUGACCAAAUGGGGAUGCCUUCUUCAACUGAAAGAACUGGUAUUUUAUGGGAAAAUUAUAACACUUUCUCUGAUUUAGAAUUGAAGAGGUUUGAUAAUCUAAAUGGUAACGUGGUUGGGCUUGCUGAUGCGAAGCAGAUUGCGACAUUGGCUCGUGAUACAUUUAACAAGUAUUUCUUUUGGGGCUUUAAAAUUUUUGCUUCUUUGACAAGUGCUGCUAUUUCUUUUAGGCUUAGGAAUUUUGCUUGUUCAUGAUCAGUGAUUAGUUUAUGAUGUGUUUAAUGAUACUGAUUAAUGUGUUAAGCUGUAUGAAUGUAAUUUGUUCAUAAAGUUGUGGUUUUUCAUUCUAGGGAUGGUCCAUUAUUGGUGGUAGCAUCUGGUCGUGAUACCAUUUCAGUAUCAAGUUCUAUAAGACGAUUAGCUCCAGAUUAUGUUUUUUUUGUUCAGAUACAACAUCCAAGAUCGCGUUUGAAUAGGUUUGAUUUGGUGAUUACUCCUCAUCAUGAUUAUUAUCCAUUGACUCCUCAUGCUCAGGAGCAAGUCCCCUGGUUCCUUCGGAGGUGGAUAACUCCACGUGAACCUCCUGAUAGGCGCGUGGUAUGCGUUUGGGUUGCUAAAUACUUGCUUAAAUGGCUCAGAGGUCUAAGUCAGGAAUAAUUUGGAUAGCCAUUAAACUUUAGCUUCUCUUUCUAGUUAAAUCAUCACUGUGAUAGUGGUAUCUAAAGCUCAUAGUUUUGCUAUUUUGAAUCCCAGGUUCUAACUGUGGGAGCUCUUCCCCAGGCUGAUUCUGCUGCAUUGAGAAGUGCAGCUUCUGUUUGGCAUGAUGAGCUGGCACUGCUUCCAAAGCCCUUGCUUGUUAUCAAUAUUGGAGGGCCUACCGGUAAUAUGCUGUGUAUCUAUGUAUGUAUUUAAUUGCUGUGUUCUCAUUUUUUCAGGAACUUUUUGUUGAAAUUUCAUUGUUUUAUUGUUGAUUAACAUCUGAGUAGUGUAUAUUCAAAAGUCCUGGUAGUAUUACAAUAAUUGGAGUAUUGGGGGCUGUAACAUGUGAAAGAUGGCCUUUGCAUCUUUUAGAAUAGCUGUAGAUGCAUUAUUCUGAGAAUAUUCUCAAUUAUACAUUUCUUACCACCUCUUAUUAGAUAGCCUUUGAUAUUCUGGAAGUUGUAUAUAACUGGAAGUUGUAUAUAAGCAGUCCAUGGAAUUCCAGAUGUUAUUUAUCUUGUAAUUUAUGAGUUGGGGGAAAGAUUUUUGCAUAUAUAUAUUUUUUUCAAACUUGUAGGUAACUCCUUGCAUUCUAAUUAUUGUAAAUAUGCAGUAAUGGCUGAUUUAGGUGACUCUUCUAUGAGGCCACAGAUAUCAAAAUGCUUAAAGCAGUUGGGCCUGAUGAUGAUUCCUAAACCAAUUUUUAAGCUCCCUGGGCCACCAUGUACUCAUGCAAAAGCAGGGGAAAUCCUGGUUUGUGUCAUUGAGUGAGAUGUAGGUGUUUGAUAAUUGGGUUGGUUUGUGUUGGUAGGCGGGCAAUAUGUUUCAAUCAAAACAAGGGAGUUUGGUUGUACAGAAAGAGAAUGUCAAAGCGCAUGGAGAAAUGUUUGGAUUGUUUUGUUGGUUAAAGGGUUUAUUUAUUCAUUAUUGCUUGAAUUUUUUUCUCAUCUAUCAAACAUUAAAAUCUUUUGCAAAUAAAAAUUUCAUGGGCAUUAGAUCACUGUUACACUGUGUGGUACAUAACAUGAGCCUUGUGAUAUUAACGUAAAUUUGAUGAUCUUGAUUUCACAUAAAUAAUUUAUUACUUGCAAGUGAACUGCAUUUUCUUCACCAUGUAAUAGUCCAAUUCAUCCUUUUACUGUAAUCCAUAUCUUACAGCUUAUUUUUCUUAAUAGGCAACUGUGAGUAUGGAAUAGAUCUUGCAGAACAGUUAAAGGAUAAGCUGCAGAAAGUUCUAUGGAGUUGUGGAAGUGUUAGAAUAUCUUUUUCUCGAAGAACACCUGAGAAGGUGUGCAUGCUCUAAAGCAAUUUCUAUUGUCAGUUCUUUUGAUUUGUACUCAUUAUUUGUUGGCUCUGUUAUUGGUAGGUGUCUAAUAUUUUAGUGAAAGAAUUCAGUAAUAACCCUAAGGUCUACAUUUGGGAUGGUAAAGGUCCAAAUCCACAUAUGGGGCAUCUAGCUUGGGCUGAUGCUUUUGUCAUCACAGCAGAUUCUGUGAGUAUGUUGAGUGAGGCUUGUAGCACUGGGAUCCCUGUCUAUGUUAUAGGAGCUGAACGGUGCACGUGGAAGUUUGCUGACUUUCAAAAGAGAUUACAUGAUCGUGGAGUGGUUAGACCAUUCACUGGCGAAGAGGAUAUAUCCAAGGUCUGGAGCUAUCCUCCAUUAAAUGACACUGCAGAGGCCGCUUCGCAGGUAAUUAACGCACUUGCGGAGCGUGGAUGGACAGUACAAGCAGUCGAGGAUGAUGUGUUUUUCAAACUUUAGCAUGACCAACUUUAAACAAUGCACCAAUUUGAUACAUCCCUGGCCCCUUGCUCAGAUCAGAUUUUAACAGGCAAAAGCAGUUAAAUUUAAACUGACACGUUCAACUUCUGAAACGUUGUAAAAUCAAUUAUCAACUGAUCUCAUGAUUAUACCAGUUUUGUAGUUGAUAGAACAUGGGGUUUCAAUUUACUGAAGAGUAGCAUGUAACAGUAUCAUAUAUAGAUGCUUUCAAUUACUAUAUUUAGCUCUGUCCUCAAUUUUGG